UUUUCUUUUCUUUUCUUUUCUUUUAUAAUAAAUUGAAAAAGAGGUUAAAAAAAGAGAUUAAAAGCAAACCUUUGAUGUAGGCACUAUGAGUUCACAAGUCUGCAAAUUGAAUUACUAACUCAUCUUGUCGAUAUUA
rnacentral:ribozyme from 14 species